UUCGCAAUGCCCGAAAGGGUGACGAAGCGACGCCGCGUGUGGGAAGAAGGCCUUCGGGUUGUAAACCACUGUCGGGAGUUAAGAAGUGUAGUGAUGUUAAUAGCAUCGCUACUUGACUAAGGCUCCGGAGGAAGCCACGGCUAACUCUGUGCCAGCAGCCGCGGUAAUACAGAGGCGGCAAGCGUUGUUCGGAAUUAUUGGGCGUAAAGAGCACGUAGGCGGCUUUGUAAGUCGGUUGUGAAAGCCUUCCGCUCAACGGGAGAACGGCAGUUGAUACUACAGGACUAGAGUGCGGGAGGGGAGAGUGGAACUUCUGGUGGAGCGGUGAAAUGCGUAGAUAUCAGAAGGAACGCCGGCGGCGAAAGCGACUCUCUGGCCCGUAACUGACGCUGAGUGUGCGAAAGCUAGGGGAGCAAACGGGAUUAGAUACCCCGGUAGUCCUAGCCGUAAACGAUGGGCACUAAGUAGAGGGGUUUU
rnacentral:rRNA from 1 species